rnacentral:rRNA from 1 species
AUUGAACGCUGGCGGCAGGCCUAACACAUGCAAGUCGAGCGGAGCGGCGGACGGGUGAGUAAUGCCUAGGAAUCUGCCUGGUAGUGGGGGAUAACGUCCGGAAACGGGCGCUAAUACCGCAUACCAUCAGAUGUGCCCAGAUGGGAUUAGCUAGUAGGUGGGGUAACGGCUCACCUAGGCGACGAUCCCUAGCUGGUCUGAGAGGAUGACCAGCCACACUGGGACUGAGACACGGGCCAGACUCCGACGGGAGGGAGCAGGGGGGAAUAUUGGACAAUGGGCGAAAGCCUGAUGGAGCCAUGCCGGGUGUGUGAAGAAGGCCUUCGGGUUGUAAAGCACUUUCAGCGGGGAGGCGUUACCCGCAGAAGAAGCACCGGCUAACUCCGUGCCAGCAGCCGCGGUAAUUC